GACUUGGCAAGAAGGCCAGAAAAUUAACUAAGCGGAUUCUAAAUCCUAUCAGCCAGUAGACCAACCUCACCCCUAGUAGGUAGAGCCCAGUGGGGAUGGAGAUAUAUAAUGACCUUUGAGUACCUACCUGUAUUUGAACAGAUGAAUAGGCUAGGAAAGAUGGCUUUGAGUGAUACCUAUGGGAGUAAAUAGUCAUCAUGUAGUAGCCAUCACGUGAUUGUGUGGAGAAAGAAAUAUGAAACAAUGUGGAAUACCUACCAGGCAAAUAGACAACACCUAAAAAUAAAGCAGCUGGACCGUAAUGGUAGUAUAACCAGUAGUACCUAGUAACAUAAAUGAAACCGUUAGGUUCAUGAGCAAAUGAGGGGGAAAAUAAGAAGUGAAAG